UACAGAGGGGGCAAGCGUUGUUCGGAAUUACUGGGCGUAAAGGGCGCGUAGGCGGCCUGCUAAGUCGAACGUGAAAUCCCUGGGCUCAACCCAGGAACUGCGUCCGAUACUGGUUGGCUUGAAUCCGGGAGAGGGACGUGGAAUUCCAGGUGUAGCGGUGAAAUGCGUAGAUAUCUGGAGGAACACCGGUGGCGAAGGCGACGUCCUGGACCGGUAUUGACGCUGAGGCGCGAAAGCGUGGGGAGCGAUCCGG
rnacentral:rRNA from 1 species